GAGUAACGCGUAGGUAACCUGCCUUGUAGCGGGGGAGUAACUAUUGGAAACGAUAGCUAAUACCGCAUAACAAUGGAUGACACAUGUCAUUUAUUUGAAAGGGGCAAUUGCUCCACUACAAGAUGGACCUGCGUUGUAUUAGCUAGUAGGUGAGGUAAUGGCUCACCUAGGCGACGAUACAUAGCCGACCUGAGAGGGUGAUCGGCCACACUGGGACUGAGACACGGCCCAGACUCCUACGGGAGGCAGCAGUAGGGAAUCUUCCGCAAUGGGCGAAAGCCUGACGGAGCAAGACCGGUCGACGCGUGAGUGAAGAAGGUUUUCGGAUCGUAAAGCUCUGUUGUAAGUCAAGAACGGGUGUGAGAGUGGAAAGUUCACACUGGUGACGGUAGCUUACCGAGAAAGGGACGGCUAACUACGUGCCAGCAGCCGCGGUAAUACGUAGGUCCCGAGCGUUGUCCGGAUUUAGUUGGUACGUAAGCGAGCGCAGGCGGUUUGAUAAGUCUAGAAGUUAAAGGCUGUGGCUCGAACCAUAGUUCGCUUUAACGGG
rnacentral:rRNA from 1 species